rnacentral:lncRNA from 1 species
CUUCGGAAUGUUUGCUUUCACUGGGCCCUCCUGGAUGGAUUGGCAACUCUUCCCAAGUCAGACCCUGGUAUGCCCUUGUUGGUUUCUAGCAGUUAGCAGGCUGGGCAAGGAGGCGACUGGGAAGAGUCCUCCUCAAUGAACGCAUGCGUGUAAGAGGGAAGGAAUGAACUACGAACAGGAAGUAAAUUUCUUUCCAAGAGAAAAAAGCUGGAAAAAUAAUUGUUCCUCUUGUUUAGAAGAUGACAGCUUUUUUUUUUCUUCAUUAAGCGCCCUUCUCUUCAAAAGACAAAAAAGGGUGAGAGAAACUUGAAGACUUCAGUCCUUUUUGUAUCUAUGACUCCGGAAAGGAAAGAAAAAUAAACCAUGUAGAACCUGCUUGCUGUCCUGUCCUCUGCCAGCCGUUGGCCUCAGUAAUCGGAUUCAAGGAUAUGUAUGACCUACUUUUUGAAUCACUGCAGCCCAGGCUGCGCAAUUUCUUAUGUUCUCUUGCUGAGAAACCAACAUACAAGCAGAGAUUGUGUAUUUUUCUGUAAAGGUAGAGGUAGGCGCUUCUGGAAAUUCUGGAAACCUUUCCAAGUUUACAGCACAAACGACCGGAAUGUUAAGAAGGGCUUUUGUUAACAGCUACCCAACACUGUCCUGGAGGCUUUUUAAAGAGCUUAUCUCAUUGAAGCCAAGGCUGGGGCUAGCGAGAGGCCAAUGAGAGACCCAGGUAAUUUUAGAGUCACUCUGGAGGGAAGAUUCGUAUCUUGAAAAAUUCUUCCAGGUGAUUUGGACAUACCUUUCUGCCUCCCAGCCACCCCCCCCCGCCAUGGCUCAUAGCCACGUCUCCGGGAUUCCUCAGCUCUAUUUCUGGAUUUGGUCAGAAAACAGCCUGCUCUGCUGGAUUAGCUCAUCUCUCCAUGGAAAUGCCACCCUGGAGUUAUGAGAGCACGGCCUCUUUCUAAGGCUUUCUGGUGCAAUGCAACCCUCCUCGAUGGCCACAGCUGAUUGACUGGAGUGAACCUGUGACCUGAACUGGGCCAGUCAGAUUUUUCAUACUGGAAAUUUGGCGUCGGAGCCCUGAGAAACAAGUCAGGUGGUCUCGGGGGCUGAAGCUACCCCUGUGGGGUGACUAGUGGAACUCCUGGUAGUGAGAAAAAGUGAGAUGAGACUGAUGAUCUUCAGAAGGAAAAGUUUGGACUAAACACCCAGAGGAAAGCUGAAAUGAGAGACCACAUGGAAUGAAGGAGAACGUGAGUAUGAGCAAGCGAAGAAAGCCAAUCACUGAGACAAGUAUUGCCAGGGAAGAAGGCUUUUUUGGGUGCUACAGCUGAGGAGCUGGGAGGUCAAAACAGUGUGGGAAAAGAAAUUUAAAAAAAUGUUAUUAAAGAAGCUACUGUCAACCUAAAGGAAGAAACUGAGGCAAAAUUAAUGAACACUACUCCCCAAAUAGGUUCUGCCCAUGGGAUGUGGAGAUGAUGAAUUUUCUAACCUCAGUGUUGCUGACACUUAGAUCCAUGCGCUUCUGGAAAGACUCAUUUCUAAGCCAUCACGGCUGAUUGAAUGAUUGUAUCCCCCAGGUGUUUAAUAAUGGAUCCAUGUCAAUCCUAAAAGAAGUAUCUGGUGGACUGCAAUAAGGUUCUGCCUGUGAUCGUCUUCAUUUUAUCAUCCACUCAUGAAGAUGUGAAAGCCAGACUUCAGACAGACAAUUAGAGGGCAUUAGUAAUGCAUAUUGGAUGAGAAGUUGUGACACAAAAUUUUAAUAGGCUGCAAAGAUGUGCUAAAAUUCACUAGGUAUAAAUGAUGUCAUAGGUUCAGGGAGAUACUGAGACAAGUGUGAACAGAAUACAUGAGAUUACACUGAAGUUCAAUUAACUGCUAGUCAAAAACUAAAAACUAAAACAAUGUAUUCUGUAGUGAACACUUGCAGAUCUGUGUGCUUAGUUCACCUUUUCUAGAAGUUGCCCCUUCCCUUGUCCAGAUGGUUGCAAAAAAGCACUGACGUCACAACAUGACCUGGUUCCUGGCCACAGUUGAUAGGUCCAGAAACUGAUACUCAACUUAAGAAUAAGGAUCUGUUCUGUUUAUUUUAAAAUCAGAACCAAGAAUGGUAAGCUGGACUGUCUUCGAAAGCCUGGACUCUAAGAAGUAAAGCUUUGGAUUUAUAGGCAGCCAUGUCCCCCACCACUGGGGUGGCAGAGGAAUCUAGUCUUUGGAGAGAGGGGUGGACAUGAGAGAUGGAAAGAGACUCCUGUCUACAUGUUCCUAUGGCUCAGUUGCAUUUCUCUUCCUUGAGUAUCACUGUAUUCUAAUAACCUAAUAGAUCCUCAUAUCUUCCCUUUCAACUCAAGCUAACUAAGUGUCUCAUAUUUGCAAAGCAAAAUGUUCCAAGUACAUGACUUAAGCUCCAGCUACAGUGCCCUGAAUAAGGGUGGGAUAAUCAUAAUAGUAAAUUUCCAAGUGGCCAAGUCUUAACUUUGCCUUGGCCACACUAAUGUGGUCCAUGUGGUCAUUUCCAGGCUCAACUUUCUGAAGAUGAUGGUCAAGAGACAGAAGUCUCUGAGGAAGAGGAGGUAGCUGUUUAGAAAUGUUUAAAGGGUUGCCAUGUAUAAGUCAAAGUAGGUGUUCUAUGUUGCUCCAACAGACAAAAAUGAUACCAAUAGUCAAAAGUUGGAAUGCAGAUUUUGACUGGACACAACAAUUGUUUUUGUAAGUAUUAGACUUAUCCAAUAAAGGAAUGGAUGACCUAGUGAAGGAUCAAGGUCUCUGUCAAUGGAAGGUUGGGUCAGAACUUAGAUAUACAUUUAUUUGGGAGUUUGAUGAAUAGAUGGCUAUUAAUAGCUGUCAUUUAUCAAAGGCUUUUUAUGUGUGAAACACUGUGCUUGACAUAUGCUUUAUGUAAAUUUACACAUCUUCAUAAUAAUCAUAUGAAUAGAUAUACCUUAUACAUUUAAUAAUAGUUAUCAAAUAUUUAUAAGAACAAUAUUUUGGUAAUUUUAAACGUAAAAUUAAAAAAAUUUGUUAUGCUUCAAUUGUAGAAUUAUGCUACAAUUAAUUUCAGUCUUUGAAGUAUUUGUAAUUUUACCACUUCAUGGCAUUUUUCUACUUUU